AAUCGAUUCGGUAUCAAUGAA
rnacentral:misc_RNA from 1 species